GACGAACGCUGGCGGCGUGCCUAAUACAUGCAAGUAGAACGCAGUUGCGAACGGGUGAGUAACGCGUAGGUAACUGCCUCAUAGCGGGGGAUAACUAUUGGAAACGAUAGCUAAUACCACAUACUGUGAGAUGGACCUGCGUUGUAUUAGCUAGUUGGUGAGGUAAAGGCUCACCAAGGCGAAGAUACAUAGCCAGCCUGAGAGGUGGGACGAGCAAAAUGGGAGUGGGAAAAGGGCCCGACUCCUGAGGGAGGCAGCCGGAGGGAAACUUCGGAAAAGGAGGGAAGUCUGACCGAGCAACGCCGGGGGAGUUAAGAAGGGUUUCGGGUUGGAAAACUCUGUUGUGAGAGAAGCGGUAACUAAACAGAAAGGGACGGCUAACUACGUGCCAGCCGCCGCGGUAAUUC
rnacentral:rRNA from 1 species